rnacentral:lncRNA from 1 species
GUCUUACCGGUCAAAGUCUUGACGAAGAUCUGCAUCCCACCUCGAAGACGCAGGACCAGAUGAAGAGUCGAUUCCUUCUGGAUAUUGUAAUCGGCUAAAGUCCGCCCGUCCUCGAGUUGCUUUCCGGCGAAGAUGAGACGUUGCUGGUCUGGCGGGAUGCCUUCCUUGUCUUGGAUUUUGGCUUUCACGUUGUCGAUCGUGUCAGAGCUCUCGACCUCGAGAGUGAUCGUCUUUCCCGUAAGCGUCUUAACGAAGAUUUGCAUCCCGCCACGCAAACGAAGGACAAGGUGGAGCGUUGACUCCUUCUGGAUGUUGUAGUCGGCCAAGGUACGGCCGUCUUCGAGUUGUUUUCCGGCGAAGAUGAGACGUUGCUGGUCUGGGGGGAUGCCUUCCUUGUCUUGGAUCUUCGCCUUAACGUUGUCGAUCGUGUCGGAGCUCUCGACCUCGAGAGUGAUUGUCUUGCCGGUCAAGGUUUUCACGAAGAUUUGCAUCCCACCGCGCAAACGGAGGACGAGGUGGAGAGUUGACUCCUUUUGGAUGUUGUAAUCGGCCAAGGUCCGGCCGUCCUCAAGCUGUUUUCCGGCGAAGAUCAGACGCUGCUGGUCUGGAG